CACAAUCACACUCAACCAAGCCUCAGAAACAAUCACACACAGUCACCACCUACUCACGUGCAUUGCUUGCAGAGGAGCCAGGAAGGCCAAAAAAGAAUUCCUUGAUUAUUUCCCCCGGGGCCCAGUGUUUUCUAAUUACACCCCUACAUCACAAAUUAAUGAAUAACCCUAUGUAUAUUCCUGCUAUGCAUGACCCGGCCUCUGCCUUUCGUGGAGAAAUGAGACAAUCUCCAUGGAACAGAUCAUCCAACACUACCAUUGUUGAAGAUAAAAUACACAAAUUUAGCCAUACUAGAUAGAUAGAUAAAAAGGUUAUUCUAGCAUAAAAGUGUAAAAUUGGUAAUUCCUAGCUGAUUUGGGAUUUUAAAGUGUUUUCAAUCAGAAGUUUAGAAAUCUUAAUUUGAAUAUGUAAAAGUGAAAUGUAAACUAUUGUUUUUGACUUGUCACAAGUUGUCACCCGUUUGCACAUUGUAGGCCACGCACUGUCCUGAAGGUGUUUCCUACAGUAGGUGGAUGGACGCAGAAUGAUGUCACAGCGUAAUAGGGUAACAUUUAAUAGAAUUUUAGCCUUGAUCGCGGUCUUACCUUAUAAGUUUAUCUAAAUGGAAGUCCAGCUGCAAAAUGCUGUGUUGUUUAGGAA